AUUGAACGCUGGCGGCAGGCCUACCACAUGCAAAUCGAACGAGUGGCGGACGGGUGAGUAAUGUCUGGGAAACUGCCUGAUGGAGGGGGAUAACUACUGUAAACGGUAGCUAAUACCGCCUACCCUCGGAUGUGCCCAGAUGGGAUUAGCUAGUAGGUGGGGUAAAGGCUCACCUAGGCGACGAUCCCUAGCUGGUCUGAGAGGAUGACCAGGCAAACGGGAAAUGCGACACGGUGAAGACGACUACGGGAGGCAGUAGUGGGGAAUAGUGAAGAAUGGGGGAAAGCCAGAUGAAUCCAUGGCGAGUGUAUGAAGAAGGCAUACGGGUUGUAAAGUACUUUCAGCGGGGAGGCGUUCGACGCAGAAGCAGAACCGGCUAACGCCGUGCCAGCAGCCGCGGUAAUUC
rnacentral:rRNA from 1 species